AACGUAGGAGACGAACGUUAUCCGGAGUUACUGGGCGUAAAGGGCGUGUAGGCGGUAUGCUAAGUCUGGCGUGAAAGCUCUCGGCUAAACCGGGAGAGGUCGUUGGAUACUGGCAAACUAGAGGAUGGUAGAGGCGUGUGGAAUUCCGGGUGUAGUGGUGAAAUGCGUAGAGAUCCGGAGGAACACCAGAGGCGAAGGCGGCCUACUGGGCUGCACUUGACGCUGAGCCGCGAAAGCCAGGGGAGCGAACCGG
rnacentral:rRNA from 1 species